GUACUCAUUUUGCCAGUACAUACACCCAAACUGGGAUAGUGUAGACAAGUUUAGCGUGGCCCUGCACAAGGAUGACAUACAAAUUCAUGAUGGCGUUUCAAAUUCUU
ensembl:snRNA U6 U6 spliceosomal RNA